CUGUUCUCAGACUAGCCAUGCACGUCUAAGUACAAACUAAAUGAUGGUGAAACUGCAAAUGGCUCAUUACAACGGUUAUGAUGUACCCGGGAGUUCCGAUGGAUAUUUCCAGUAACACUAGAACUAAUACAUGUCCCUGCGUUUAUUAGUUUCGCACAGUCCGUCGCUGAGUCAUGGUAAACAGUUGAUCGACUCGACGUCCCGGAACAGUUUCCGCCCCAUCAGCUUCGAUGGUUGGGUAUUGGCCUACCAUUGCAACAACGGGUAACGAGGAAUUAGGGUUUGAUUUCGGAGAGGGAGCCUGAGAAACGGCUACCACAUCUACGGAUGGCAGCAGGCGCGCAAAUUACCCAAUGCAGACACUGUGAGGUAGUGACGAGAAAUAAUAAAGCGGGACUUCUGUUUCGCUAUUAUAAUGAGGAAUAACCAAAGGUCAUUCCGAUUAGCAACUGAUGGGAAAGUCUGGUGCCAGCAGCCGCGGUAAUACCAGCGUCAGUAGC
rnacentral:rRNA from 1 species